rnacentral:lncRNA from 1 species
GGCUGGCUAGGCGGGCUGGCUGAUGCUCCGUGCUUCGACAGGUCCGUCGUGGAAUGGCUACACACACACUACCCUAUAUACAAGAGGACAACACCUCAGGUAUCACUUGAAUAGAGACGCAAAAUUUUCACCAAUGAAUUUUCAAAAACAUUUUUGACCGGUGAGAUUUUGAAAAAAAGUAAUACCCGUGUCAAAAUCCUGGGCCCGCCCCUAUCCAUACCCCACGUGUCAAGUGACACACAGGCGGGGCAAAUUCUCAAAGUGCGAAAUAAAAAUUUGUUUGAUAAGUUUUAAAAAUAUAUGUUUGAGUUUGAAGUGUGUAAUUUUAAUACCCCUCCGUCCAAUAAUUUCGUUUCAACAAGAAUUAUGGGAAAAAAAUAUUUGAAAUCUAUUAUUGUUCGAAAUGACGACAACAACUACUACUCCACUGCAGACCAGAAAGAGUUAGAAACCGAAUCAUCACGAGCUGGUUGAAGACCCAACACGUGCCGCAAUACUAACGCACACCGUGAAACGAAAACUAGUUGAAAAGACAUAAAAAGGUGAGAUGCAAAUUCACAUAAUUCCAAGGUUGCCUUUGUUUGAGCCAGUCACUCCGGCUGAACGUGUCAGUCUGCCAGAGACCCAGCAGGGAGUAGUAGUAAAAAAGAAAGAAAGAAAGAAAAAAAGAAAAAAAGGCCAGCCGGUGGCGCGCCGCGAGCGACCAAUCAGAUGAACCGCCCGUGCGCGCCGGUUGGUUAUAUUCGCUGCCCGAUACACUCCCUCCUCGCUUCUCGCGCCCGCCCAGCGGAUCCAGUCAGAGCAGACUUACGGAGUCACCGACACUGGGGCUCCGUUUAUACCAUGCCGGCAUGUCAGUGGGCUUAGCGGGCUCAGGGUGGGUGAGAAAAGAUUUUCACGGAGGGCGCGGCGG